AACUUACCUAAGGGAGCUUGCGCUCUUCUGUGCUCCUCUGUGGAACAUGACCGUGCUCCAGUUCUUGGCGUGCGAGUAAAUGUUCUCCUGUCCCGGUAUCUCAUUGAACCAUGCAGUUCAGGAAAAUCCAAAGUUACCUACAUGUGUAGAAUUGAUUUAAGGGGGCAUAAGCCUGACUGGUAUGCAAAAGCUUUCGGACAUUUAUGUGCAGCAGAAGUUGUUAAGAUCAGAGAUUCUUUCACUAAGCAGAACGUUGAGAAUAAGGAAGCGAAAUCCAGGUGACUACUGAAGCAGACCAACUCUGCAUUCAACCCGCCACAGUCGGUGUGCAUCAGUGCGCCCAGGAGCUCCUGAUUGUUUGCUGCAGAACGGAUCCUGGUGUGGUCUGAAGUUCUCAUGUGAACCAAGAGUAUCUGGAAUUGGUCUGAUAUUCUCACUCAAAAUGCUGGGGCAAUACCAUGAAUUUUAAAGCUGCUUCUUCCUGUUGUUGUUAGGCCUAUCGUAUAGGCCUUGACUGGAAUAUAUUGGACAUUACACAAAAAGAAUUUUUAAAGUAUAUUAUUCUAUGUAUGAAUUGCUUCUGAGAAGCAACAUUCGAAGAAAUGUAUUCUGGAAUACAGUGGGAAAUGAUUUUCCCUUUGCAUAUGUAUCUGUGUGCUGUUUGUUGAGGGACUGUUGCAGCCACUGGAUGUGUUGGUACUCUUCACUGUCGUCCUCUCUAAAGUAAGUGAAGGAAGGUUUGCACAGAGACAAAGGUGUUGAACGGCUGUCUGAAUUUUGGACAGCCUUGGAUACAGGUUUAGUAGAAGCACAGUGUCUGGUACACUCAAAGGCAAUUAGGAAGAGUCUUCAUGUUGUGAGGAAAGAGUUCAGCCUGGGAUUUUUGCCUGCCCAGCAGACCUUCAGAAGCUUGUCUUGUGUGUCACGCAUAAAUAAAUGGGGCAGGACUAAGGAAGGCAAAACAUGAUGCCCAAUGAAGAAUUUAUGGGAGAGGUUAAAAACGUCCAAUGCGCUUCAGUAUGUCUCUUUCAAGGGCAGUGGCUCUGUAUCUUCUCCUGUUUGAAAGAAGUGUUCUCCACAUCUUGACAUGGAGGCAAAUAAGCCUUUUCCCCUGGAGUGUAUGCUUAACAGCCUCAUGUACCUCUAUGAAAUGAAUUUGCCACAGUCACAUUUUAAACAUCAAGGUGACCAUUUAAAAAACAAUACAUGCAUUGGCGCUUAGAGUUCUAGCUCUCAAUAUGCUCUAUAUUGGGAAAAGAUGCUAGUAGAAACAUAUUCACUGUGUUUAAUUCAACUCUCUUUUUCCAUGUAUGUAUAUACCCAUCAUUUUAUCCAUACGCUCCUGCUAAGAAACAGGCCAGAUUCGUAACUGACCUUGUUUGUUUGGAUCUCAUAGGAAAGAAGAGAAAGCUUAAAGGCACAAUAGUAGAGCUGACGUUGCUUUCAGCAGCUUAAAGAAAAAUAGCACUGGAAAAAAUAGUAUAACUGGAGCAUAAAACAUUCUAAAGUCAUCCAGUGUAAUAGAUACUGUGUUAGGAGUUUGAAGGUGUUCAUAUCAUCUGCUCUCACACAACCGUAUUAACCUCAUUUAGCCAAAUGCUUGGGGCGGGGGGGAUUUCCCAAAUCCUGAGCUUUGUUGAAGGUUGGAUAAGCGAAAUGAUUGUUGCUGUUAGAUUACUUGAGGCAAAUUGAAGGACUGCAGGUCAGGAGCAUGGCAGAUGGGGCAGUACGUUGCACAGACCAGUGGCUUUCAGAGGAAAACCCAGACCUGUUAACUCCAUCACCACGAGCAUUCGGAUGGCCAUAGCCAGUGACAUCUGGGUAGGGGCUUGCAGAAUCAAUGUGUUUCUGAAAGUAGUACACUCACUGUUUCAGGUGUUGCCAGAAAAACCUCUCACUCUUUUGCGGGGAGGAGUAUCACGUUGUCAAAUAUGACAUACGCAAGAGAGAAUCAAGAAAGCUUCUUUGUAAAAAAAAAAAAAAAAGUUUGGGUGCAAGAAGGUAAAAACAGAGUGGCAAGAGAGGGCAGAGGGGGUCCUUUUGUGAUGGACUUCCCCAGUGUUUCAGACCCCACAGGAUUAUGCUUCAGGUGCACCUCCAUCUCUAGGUAUGAGAUAGCCAUAACAGAUGCUGUUCAAUUCUACUGCUGUUCUGUCAUUCAGUGUUGAAGUAUAUCCAGUUGGAUUCAGGCUAUAUUUUCCUAUUUAUUUUAUUUAUCUUAUUUUGUGAUGUUUAUAGUCUGCCUUUCUCACUGAAGACUCAAGGUGGGAUACAGGAUGGUGGUGGUAGAGAGAGCCCUCAAGUCAGAGUUGAUAUAUGGCGACUCCUGGUGGGAUUUUCGUGGCAAGAGACUAACAGGUGGUUUGCCAUUGAAUGUCUCUGCAGCCCAGGUCUUCGUUGGAGGUCUCCCAUCCCAUUACUAACCAAGGCCAGCCCUACUUAGCUUCUGAGAUCUGACAAGAUUAGGCUCACCUGGACUAUCCAGGGCAGGGAUACAGGAUAAAAUCAACCCCCAAAAAUCAACAGUGUAGACAAACAGCGUAAGACAACCCAAAGAAAACUGCAAUAGGACUACAGUUACAGAACUAGGGAACACUGCAAACAACUUACAAUAAUCAUUGUCAUGGAUUACAUCUUACUUUAUUAUAAUAAUGGUGCCCUUCUGGGCAGAAUGGAACUCCACCUCCCCUCUCUACAUCCCACCAGCCUCUACAAAAUGCUGUUUCUGGGAGAUGAGGGCUCCAGGAGAAAGUUACGAGGGAGGGCUGCAGAAGGAAGGAGGAAUCAGUGGAAAUGGCCAGUUUGGUCUGGAUCUAACUCAUAAUCUCCAAGAGCAGGUCUUUGACUCUUGCUGUGAAUCUUGCCCUGCCAACCCCCAGAAACUUGCAAUUGUGUCCUGUGUAAGGUUUGUGCUUUGGUAUAGAGAUGCACUAUUAGUAUAGAGAUGCACUGAACAAGUAUGAGUAAGGUAUGAAUGAAAAAUAUAAAAUGGAAGAUAGAUGGUUGGGUGGUGGUGGUUUAAAACAAAGGCUUUAAAGAGAGACCCAUCCUUAGAGUUGUCCUGUCCCAGGCUUUCUGACUUUUCAGUGUCUUUUAAAACUCCUUUCUGUGUCCCUACAACCAGGGACAACUGCUAAGCUGUGCAUUGGACCAAAGAUGGUGUGAAGUUGGCCUGUUCGUUCCAUCUUCCUUACUUGCAUUGAAGAAAAGGACCACACAGCUUAGAGGUUGCCUUACAACUUGGGCCCUUUCCUGGUUUCUCCAUCUCAAAGCAGUGACAUGGCUGGAAGCAGCCCUCGGUUACCAUUAUCAGUAUUAUUGCUUUUAAAGUUUUUGUGAUGAAGAAUUGUGAUGGUGCCAACAGGCUUGUAUUGUGCUUGUAGGCAUGGCCAGUGCCUGCAUCGUUACCCCGUGUAAUUUUGUCUUGUUUUUGUUUUGCCCUUCCCCUCAUUGUUCUUUGCACAUUUUGUAAUAACCACACACACAGGAAAAAAGUCAACACAGGAAAUAGUAGGGAGAAAAGAUGUGAUACGGCAAGCCUUGCAUUUGAUCCUUUUCAAGCAACAAACAGACGGGAACAAUGUUCUUCCCAGAAGUUGUGAAGAACAUUGCAGGGUGUCAGUGCAAGCUCUAAUGAAACUUUGACUCCUCUUUUGCAAACCUAAAGGUAUACAUGAUACAACCAAGGAUCAGGUGUGGACUAAUACCAACUCUUUUGGAUUAUGUUACGAGACUCCUCCUGGAGGGGAAAGUAGCUGUGUUAGAUUAUACAGUUGUGUCCCCACCCUCAGUGGUUGUGAGGCCAAACUACGCGUUCAGUUUUUAACAAGUUCGUUCCACAUUCUCUGCAGCUCCACAGCAGCUGCGGGGAAUGGCUUUUUGUAAAAAAUAAAGGAGAGUCCAAACAGGCUUGGAAUGAGACUGUGGGUGCAUUCCACCUUCAAGACAUUUUCCUGCACAGAAACAGCACUGAGGAGGAAUACAUACCCAUUUUUGCUGUUUUGAUAACAAGCAGAAGUCCUUCCUCUCCCUGCAGCUGUGUUCUGAGCCUGUUUGGGCUCUUUUAUUUUUUAAAACCAUUCGCCGUAGCUGCUUUGUAGAUGCAAGGAACCCAGACCCAACUCAUUAAAAACCCGGACGUGUAGUUUGGCCAGCUGAGUGUGUUUAGGAUCACAACAUUAGUAUUCCUCAUGAAUAGGGCAACCUUGUGCAUUCUUUGUAUACUGUCCUAAACAUUUAAAUGUGUGAAAAUAUAUGUUGUACAUACCGUUCUGUUGUAAACGUGUACACUUGCUUACAGUUAAUUGUCCAGUAUAGAUAAAGCAUGAACAUAAUUAUUUAAAUAUACUUGUAUUCAGGGCUUUUUUCCUGGGAAAAGAGGUGGUGGAACUCAGGACCGCACAAUGAUGUCACUUUGGGUCAGCUGGAACAAGGGGGGAGUUUUUUAAAGUUUAAAUCACCCUUGGCGAAAAUGGUCACAUGUCCGGUGGCCCAGCCCCCUGAUCUUCAGACAGAGGGGAGUUUAGAUUGCCCUCCGCGCUGUAGCGCAGCGGCACGGAAAGCAAUCUCAACUCCCCUCUGUCUGGAGAUCAGGGGGGCGGGGCCACCGGACAUGUGACCAUUUUCAAGAUGUGCCGGAACUCCGUUCCACCACGUUCCCGAUGAAAAAAAGCCCUGCUUGUAUUUAUACCUCAGAUAUUCUUUUGGGGGAGGGGAGGAUUUUGUACCUCAAGUUGUCUCCCCUUCGUCCACCCUCAUGUAAAUAACUUUUCCACAAUUAAGGUCUCAGUAAAAGAAGAAAAGGUUUAUAUCUUGCUGUUAUAUGUCUGUACAGUAUAUAAUCAAUAAAUGCACUAUUAAAUAUU